rnacentral:rRNA from 1 species
CCGCAUGGUUCAAAAGUGAAAGACGGUCUUGCUGUCACUUAUAGAUGGAUCCGCGCUGCAUUAGCUAGUUGGUAAGGUAACGGCUUACCAAGGCAACGAUGCAUAGCCGACCUGAGAGGGUGAUCGGCCACACUGGAACUGAGACACGGUCCAGACUCCUACGGGAGGCAGCAGUAGGGAAUCUUCCGCAAUGGGCGAAAGCCUGACGGAGCAACGCCGCGUGAGUGAUGAAGGUCUUCGGAUCGUAAAACUCUGUUAUUAGGGAAGAACAUAUGUGUAAGUAACUGUGCACAUCUUGACGGUACCUAAUCAGAAAGCCACGGCUAACUACGUGCCAGCAGCCGCGGUAAUACGUAGGUGGCAAGCGUUAUCCGGAAUUAUUGGGCGUAAAGCGCGCGUAGGCGGUUUUUUAAGUCUGAUGUGAAAGCCCACGGCUCAACCGUGGAGGGUCAUUGGAAACUGGAAAACUUGAGUGCAGAAGAGGAAAGUGGAAUUCCAUGUGUAGCGGUGAAAUGCGCAGAGAUAUGGAGGAACACCAGUGGCGAAGGCGACUUUCUGGUCUGUAACUGACGCUGAUGUGCGAAAGCGUGGGGAUCAAACAGGAUUAGAUACCCUGGUAGUCCACGCCGUAAACGAUGAGU